UAGGGAAUCUUCCGCAAUGGACGCAAGUCUGACGGAGCAACGCCGCGUGAGUGAAGAAGGAUUUCGGUUCGUAAAACUCUGUUGUUAGAGAAGAACAGCGCAUAGAGUAACUGUUAUGCGUGUGACGGUAUCUAACCAGAAAGCCACGGCUAACUACGUGCCAGCAGCCGCGGUAAUACGUAGGUGGCAAGCGUUGUCCGGAUUUAUUGGGCGUAAAGCGAGCGCAGGCGGUCAAUUAAGUCUGAUGUGAAAGCCCCCGGCUCAACCGGGGAGGGUCAUUGGAAACUGGUUGACUUGAGUGCAGAAGAGGAGAGUGGAAUUCCAUGUGUAGCGGUGAAAUGCGUAGAUAUAUGGAGGAACACCGGUGGCGAAAGCGGCUCUCUGGUCUGUAUCUGUCGCUGAGGCUCGAAAGCGUGGGGUGCGAACAGG
rnacentral:rRNA from 1 species